rnacentral:rRNA from 1 species
CUACGGGUGGCUGCAGUGGGGAAUAUUGCACAAUGGGCGCAAGCCUGAUGCAGCCAUGCCGCGUGUAUGAAGAAGGCCUUCGGGUUGUAAAGUACUUUCAGCGGGGAGGAAGGGAGUAAAGUUAAUACCUUUGCUCAUUGACGUUGCCCGCAGAGGAAGCACCGGCUAACUCCGUGCCAGCAGCCGCGGUAAUGCGGAGGGUGCAUGCGUUAAUCGGAAUUACUGGGCGUAAAGCGCACGCAGGCGGUUUGUUAAGUCAGAUGUGAAAUCCCCGGGCUCAACCUGGGAACUGCAUCUGAUACUGGCAAGCUUGAGUCUCGUAGAGGGGGGUAGAAUUCCAGGUGUAGCGGUGAAAUGCGUAGAGAUCUGGAGGAAUACCGGUGGCGAAGGCGGCCCCCUGGACGAAGACUGACGCUCAGGUGCGAAAGCGUGGGGAGCAAACAGGAUUAGAUACCCGCGUAGUC